GUGACCUCAACACCAAUGCAAAGAUACAGGGAUGCAGUCAUACAGCUGUUAAUGACACUGCCCCCUGUUGGACGGUCACUUUUGAUGGACCACGACGUGUAGAUACAUUUGUUAUUUAUAAUAGAAGAGAUGACCAGCCAGAACGCCUCAAACAUUUCCAACUUGAAGCAGAGAAUGAACACAGUCAGAGCGUCUUCUCUUACCGGGACUCUCUGGAUCACUUCCUCUACAUCUACAGAGUGAACAUUCUAGAACAUCUUUCCAUGAAAUCUGUUACCAUCUGCCAGAAUGAGACAGAAAAACCCUUCGUUACACUUUGUGAAGUGGAGGCUUAUGGCGAAUGUCUACCUGGCUCUUGGGGUUUGAACUGUUCCAACAAGUGUCCUAGUUCAUGCCCUAACUCCUGUGACAGAGGAGAUGGAACAUGCAACGCCAUCUGUGUCGGAUCUAGUGACCCACCUGAUUGUACUAGAGGUAAGGAGGGACGUGGGAUCAACUAUCUGAUCAAACUAUUUUACUGUCUUACA
rnacentral:sRNA from 1 species